rnacentral:rRNA from 1 species
AGAGUUUGAUCCUGGCUCAGGAUGAACGCUGGCGGCGUGCCUAAUACAUGCAAGUCGAACGGAAGGUAGCAAUACCUUUAGUGGCGAACGGGUGAGUAACGCGUUGGUGACCUGCCCCGAAGCGUGGGAUAACAGUCCGAAAGGACUGCUAAUACCGCAUGUGGUCCAAGAGAUUAGAGGCUCCUGGACUAAAGGAGACAUUCACUUCGGGAGGGGCCUGCGUCCCAUCAGCUAGUUGGUAGGGUAAUGGCCUACCAAGGCGAUGACGGGUAGGGGACCUGAGAGGGUGGCCCCCCACAAUGGAACUGAAACACGGUCCAUACACCUACGGGUGGCAGCAGUAGGGAAUAUUGCAAAAUGGGCGCAAGCCCGAUGCAGCAACGCCGCGUGGGCGAUGAAGGCCUUCGGGUCGUAAAGCCCUUUUUGAGGGGAUGAGGAAGGACAGUACCCUCAGAAUAAGCCUCGGCUAACUACGUGCCAGCAGCCGCGGUAAAACGUAGGAGGCGAGCGUUAUCCGGAUUUACUGGGCGUAAAGCGCGUGCAGGCGGAUUGGAGAGUUGGAUGUGAAAGCUCCCGGCUUAACUGGGAGAGGUCGUUCAAUACUUCCAGUCUUGAGUGCAGUAGAGGGAAGUGGAAUUCCGGGUGUAGUGGUGAAAUGCGUAGAUAUCCGGAGGAACACCAGUGGCGAAAGCGGCUUCCUGGCCCAUUUCUGACGCUCAGACACGAAAGCUAAGGUAGCAAACGGGAUUAGAGACCCCGGUAGUCUUAGCUGUAAACGAUGUGAACUUAGUGUCGGCGGGUUUAAAUCCGUCGGUACUGAAGCAAACGCGAUAAGUUCACCGCCUGGGGACUACGGCCGCAAGGUUAAAACUCAAAGGAAUUGACGG